GAAGAUGUCAGUAUUGAAUAUGGUGG
rnacentral:piRNA from 1 species